rnacentral:rRNA from 1 species
AGUGAACGCUGGCGGUAGGCCUAACACAUGCAAGUCGAACGGCAGCACAGUAAGAGCUUGCUCUUACGGGUGGCGAGUGGCGGACGGGUGAGGAAUACGUCGGAAUCUACUUUUUCGUGGGGGAUAACGUAGGGAAACUUACGCUAAUACCGCAUACGACCUACGGGUGAAAGCAGGGGAUCUUCGGACCUUGCGCGAUUGAAUGAGCCGAUGUCGGAUUAGCUAGUUGGCGGGGUAAAGACCCACCAAGGCGACGAUCCGUAGCUGGUCUGAGAGGAUGAUCAGCCACACUGGAACUGAGACACGGUCCAGACUCCUACGGGAGGCAGCAGUGGGGAAUAUUGGACAAUGGGCGCAAGCCUGAUCCAGCCAUACCGCGUGGGUGAAGAAGGCCUUCGGGUUGUAAAGCCCUUUUGUUGGGAAAGAAAAGCAGCAGGUUAAUACCCCGCUGUUCUGACGGUACCCAAAGAAUAAGCACCGGCUAACUUCGUG